rnacentral:lncRNA from 1 species
CGAAACAGUCAAGCACAACAUAGCAGGCUUCCAUAUGCAGAAGCAGACCACCAGAAAAGUAUCUGUUCCUUUCCUGUCCUCCACAACCACAAGGUAGCCCGUAGCCACGGCUCCUCCUCUUUCCUAGAAAUAAACACACCCGCAAGUUGCUGGAUUCCACUCGCACUCUUCUCUUAUAUAUAUAUAUAUAUGUCACCCAGCCCAUAUCCUUGAUCAAUCACACAAUUUCUAAAAGCUUAAUUUAAUAAGGACUUGUACCUAGUAUUUGAUCGAUCAUAAAUAUUCAUCAACAAUAUAAUUAAUGGCUCCAGGGGGGAUCAACAGU